UGAAAAACAAACCCAAAGCUUUUUAAAGACUCACCACAGGCAGGAAAGACCAGAAGAGCAGUUUCUGACCCCUGGGAACCCUCAGUUGUCCCUGUCACAAAGCCAAGGUGUGAAAAACCACAAAAUGGGAGGAAAUUAAAAGCAUUCCUGAUAUUAUCAACACAUGGAUUAUAUUUAGCACACAAAGCCCUUCGGAGGCCGCGGUGACAACAUCCAACUGUCCAGGAAUCAGAGCCCAGGGGAGCUGCUGGCUCUGCCUCAGGAGCAGCACCAACCUGCACAUGAAG